GAUGAACGCUAGCGGCAGGCCUAACACAUGCAAGUCGAGGGAGAGGUUAUCUUCGGGUAACCAAAACCGGCGCACGGGUGCGUAACGCGUAUACAAUCUGCCUUUCACAUAGGGAUAGCCCGAAGAAAUUUGGAUUAAUACCUAAUGGUAUAUAGGAGCGGCAUCGUUUUUAUAUUAGAGCUACGGUGGUGAAAGAUGAGUAUGCGUUCUAUUAGCUAGUUGGAGAGGUAACGGCUCCCCAAGGCGACGAUAGAUAGGGGUUCUGAGAGGGAUGUCCCCCACACUGGUACUGAGAUACGGACCAGACUCCUACGGGAGGCAGCAGUGAGGAAUAUUGGACAAUGGUCGGAAGACUGAUCCAGCCAUGCCGCGUGCAGGAUGAAGGUCCUAUGGAUUGUAAACUGCUUUUGUAAGGGAAGAAUAAGGAGUACGUGUACUUUGAUGACGGUACCUUACGAAUAAGCAUCGGCUAACUCCGUGCCAGCAGCCGCGGUAAUACGGAGGAUGCGAGCGUUAUCCGGAAUCAUUGGGUUUAAAGGGUCCGUAGGCGGGCUGAUAAGUCAGAGGUGAAAGCGCUUAGCUCAACUAAGCAACUGCCUUUGAAACUGUCAGUCUUGAAUGAUUGUGAAGUAGUUGGAAUGUGUAGUGUAGCGGUGAAAUGCUUAGAUAUUACACAGAACACCGAUAGCGAAGGCAUAUUACUAACAAUUUAUUGACGCUGAUGGACGAAAGCGUGGGGAGCGAACAGG
rnacentral:rRNA from 1 species